ACAUCGGCUUGAUUAAAGCCACCAAUUCUAAAUUAAAAAAGAAA
rfam:Pterocles gutturalis contig85070, whole genome shotgun sequence.